GAUGGACGCUGGCGGUAUGCUUAACACAUGCAAGUCGAACGGACUCUUCGGAGUUAGUGGCGGACGGGUGAGUAACGCGUGAGAAUCUGGCUUUGGGUUCGGGACAACCACUGGAAACGGUGGCUAAUACCGGAUGGGCCGAGAGGUAAAGGAGAAAUUGCCUGAAGAUGAGCUCGCGUCUGAUUAGCUAGUUGGUGAGGUAAAGGCUCACCAAGGCAGCGAUCAGUAGCUGGUCUGAGAGGAUGACCAGCCACACUGGGACUGAGACACGGCCCAGACUCCUACGGGAGGCAGCAGUGGGGAAUUUUCCGCAAUGGGCGAAAGCCUGACGGAGCAAUACCGCGUGAGGGAAGAAGGCUCUUGGGUUGUAAACCUCUUUUCUUAGGGAAGAACAAAAUGACGGUACCUAAGGAAUCAGCAUCGGCUAACUCCGUG
rnacentral:rRNA from 1 species